rnacentral:rRNA from 1 species
UACGGGGGGGGCAAGCGUUGUUCGGAAUUACUGGGCGUAAAGGGCUCGUAGGCGGCCAACUAAGUCGGAUGUGAAAUCCCCAGGCUUAACCUGGGAACUGCAUCCGAUACUGGAUGGCUUGAAUCCGGGAGAGGGAUGCGGAAUUCCAGGUGUAGCGGUGAAAUGCGUAGAUAUCGUCAGGAAUGCCAGUGGUGAAGACGGGUGACUGGGCUGGUUCUGACACUGAGGCACGAAAGCGUGGGGAGCGAACGGG